ACUCCUACGGGAGGCAGCAGUAGGGAAUCUUCCACAAUGGACGAAAGUCUGAUGGAGCAACGCCGCGUGAGUGAAGAAGGUUUUCGGAUCGUAAAACUCUGUUGUUGGAGAAGAAUGUAUCUGAUAGUAACUGAUCAGGUAGUGACGGUAUCCAACCAGAAAGCCACGGCUAACUACGUGCCAGCAGCCGCGGUAAU
rnacentral:rRNA from 1 species